rnacentral:lncRNA from 1 species
CUCAGUCUCAUCUGGGGUUUGUGGAGGGCUUCCACAUAGAAGCUUACAGUUCAGCCAAAGAGACAGAUUAUAAGCAGAUAAUUUCAACACAAGGUGGACUUGGCGGGGAGUAUCCCUCCCCUGAAGCUCUGGGCUGUGAGGAGGUGGGUGGGCUCCACCUUAAAAGAAGGAUGUGAGUGUUUGUAAUCACAUCAGUUACACUCUGCUGCCAAGACUACUGAAGGCCGGUCACACUCACAGUCUUUCCUAAUUAUCAAAGCUGUCUGUGUUCAGAAACAGACUGUAGCUUCUAGGCAGAGUGCUUCGUCCCAGCAUCACUCAUCUGCUGUUUGUUGAACUGAAAUGAACAUCUUGUCCAAUUUUAACUCUCGAGUUUUUGGCAAUUGGCUGAAUUGGAAAGUCGAAGAUGCAUUUAGAGGAGAGGAUAUUGCCGAGCACUGCAGCUGCAAGAAUCUCUUUUUAAAACCUAAAGUCUGUUACAUAAAUUAUGCACUCUUUAAAUUCUCUUCUACGUUCAUUUACACAGUUGAUCAUCAAAACUGCUUUAGAAAUACGUGCAUCAAAUAUUCAGCAUAUUUUUAAAGCUUCCUUAAUACCAUGCCUAGUAAGUGGAUGCAAUUAUGUAUUUAUUUACAACAAACACCUAUGACUAGCACAAAACCUAAUUACAGUCUAUCAUUACCUCUGAAUCAUUCCAAUGGAAAUGUUUUCUCUCACUGUAUUCAUAUUGUUUUGGUGCAUGAGUAUAGAAGGCAGCAGAUUGUUUUCUGUGAUCAUAGAUUUUAAAUAUUUACUUGCUUGUGCUGCAUAAUUCAGCACACUGGAGUUGGAAAGCAGUUUGUAUGGUAGCUGAUGCCAUGUCAGUGUUACGGAA